ACCUGGGUGGCUCAGUCAGUUGAGCGUCCGACUUCAGCUCAGGUCAUGAUCUCGUGGUUCAUGGGUUCGAGCCCCAUGUCAGGCU
rnacentral:tRNA from 1 species